rnacentral:lncRNA from 1 species
AGGAGUUCUUAUUGUCACUAUUCUGCAGGUGAGAAACUGAGGCACAGAGGGGUUAGGUAAGUUAUCGAAAGUCACAUAGCUACUAUUAAUAUAAGUAGGACUCUGUACUCUUAACCUUUAUGCUCCUUCUGAAGAAAGGUUUUUUUUUGUUUUUUUUUUUUUUUAAGUACAGAGUAGGUAAUAUUCAACUUGACUUUUAAAGUGCAGGUUGAGUUAACGGAGAAUGAGAACCUUUAGGAAGGAAUGGCAUGUACAGGACAAGGAACCUCGAGGGGAUUGUGCGCAGAAGGAAAAGGCAAGUAUGCACCCAGGCUACAUCCUGAAGGGAACAAAGAUAGAGAGAGAGAGAGCAAGAGUCAGACAAAACUCAAGUUAGCUUUGUAGAGGUGUGUAGUGUAGAGACUACCUACACUACACUAUCCUGUCCUGUCAGCAGGGAGGGCCACCGGAGGAUUUAUAAAGGGGAGUGUUGUCAGAAUGACUGCUCUGUAGAUGAGUAGCUUUCUUUCUUUCUGGUAAGAAUGAGAAGGAAAUCAUGGUAAGAUCAAGUUGGGUGCAACUGAACAGUGUAUUUGCUGUAAAAACCCAGCUUCACAAUUCUGAGAAAUGCAACGUGUCAGGCUCUGCAGACAGAAGGUUAUCUGUGAAUUUGAGCUGUCUUUUCCUCUUCUGUUUCCAUGUAAGAAGAAAUUGUACUGUUGCUUCUGAGUAAGGGGUGUUGGGAUGUCCCCCCACGGCUACUGCCAUUGCCUUCUCGCUGCAUCCGAGCCCUGUCACUGCCAAUGCCGGGCCAUGCUGUGAUGUCACACUGGAAAAGAAUGAACUGUGGUUCUCAUUGUUAGGGAUCACAGAUAUUCUUCUAGAAGGAACAAGGAUUGCUACAAAUGUUAAGUGUCUAUGGGGAAAUCAGUCAAGGAGGAUUCAAGAUGUUGGCCGUACUUCUGUGACAGAAUCAGAAGCACUGUCCCUCAGAGCCUCACUAAUGACAGGCAGAAGCAGAAUCCCAUGGUAGCCAGGUGGGUGAAGGGGAGCGAGGACGUCCCAUCUGCCUUGAAGAAGACGCCUUCUGACCUGCUGAGGGAGUGACCAGGUAGUAAACAGUCUGAGGGCACAGGGUGUUGAGAGGGAGGGAAAAGGUGCUUACCCUUUGAGUGUGGUCUACCAGCCACUCUUUUCCACAGAGAGAUGCUAAAACCAAGAAUCCCCUCCCCAGAGGCUCUAAGUCUUGUUCCCCCUUUUAAGGCCAUCAAUCUUGAAUAGCUAUUGGUGUCAUUACCUCCAACACUAGAUGUGCAGAAAUGUAACAAGAGAGCUUUCAGCAGAAAGAGGGAAAAGAUCCAGCUCAUCUGAAGCCUGGCCCAUUGCCUCUUUUAAAGAGAGGUUAAAACAGAAGCUUCAUGGCACCGCCUUCAUGUAAACAGGGCCAAGUUUUCCAGAAUCUGGCAGACAGCUGAGCUUGGAGCUUCGCUCGUGCCCGCAGGACACUCGUGUGUCACUCACACUUGAAAACUUAAGCCUCUGUUUUUAUUUCAGUGGAUUGAAUGGCAUGCACUUUCCCUUAGCAGUUUCUCUCUCUCUCUCUCUCUCUCUCUCUCCCUUUUUUUAAAGUGCAUGCAUUUACUUGUACAUAAACUUCAUUUGCUUUGGGCAAUGCUCACGUUCUGAGCUUGACUAUGCUUUUGGGCAUGGUGGCAUGUUGUUUUGUUCCCAAGUUUUUGUGGUGGUCACUUUCCUCUUGGUUACGGAAAAAUGCUGCUGAGGGGCUGAUAAAGCCUAUGUUCUUCAGUUAUAUCCUGUAUUUUUCUCUUAAAUUAAUCUCUACAUAAGUGGAAUAGGCUUCAAAAAGAAAAAUAAAUUCUGAAUAGCUUAGGGCCCUUCUUUGCAAUGAAAAUGAAAAAGUAACUUUUCUUUCCAAGAAAAAAAAAAUCAUUUCAAGGGUUAUUCAGUAAAUGACACGCUCUUAAUAUAACAGGAAAAUUAAAAAGCACGAAUCCCUGCAUCUUCAACAAGUGUUAGUUUCUGAUGGAUGGUUUCAGUUUCCUUGAAAGGAUUUGCCCAGAAGAUUACUUCCAAAACUUCUGUUGAGAUAAUGCUGCCCUAACAGCGAAGAUUAUUGCAUGAAUCACAGACCACUGUAUCCAGUUCCUUUUUAAAGGGGGGAUUUUUUCCUUUAUCCUUAAAAUACCAAUGAGGUGGAAAAAACCCCACAUGCCAACCAGGUAGUGUUACCCUGUAAUUACUCCCAUUGUCUGUUUCAAGGAAUAUAGGAUGAUUUAUUUCAGU